rnacentral:rRNA from 1 species
AGGGUGACAGCCCCGUACACAAAAAUGCACAUACUGUGAGCUCGAUGAGUAGGGCGGGACACGUGGUAUCCUGUCUGAAUAUGGGGGGACCAUCCUCCAAGGCUAAAUACUCCUGACUGACCGAUAGUGAACCAGUACCGUGAGGGAAAGGCGAAAAGAACCCCGGCGAGGGGAGUGAAAAAGAACCUGAAACCGUGUACGUACAAGCAGUGGGAGCACGCUUAGGCGUGUGACUGCGUACCUUUUGUAUAAUGGGUCAGCGACUUAUAUUCUGUAGCAAGGUUAACCGAAUAGGGGAGCCGAAGGGAAACCGAGUCUUAACUGGGCGUUAAGUUGCAGGGUAUAGACCCGAAACCCGGUGAUCUAGCCAUGGGCAGGUUGAAGGUUGGGUAACACUAACUGGAGGACCGAACCGACUAAUGUUGAAAAAUUAGCGGAUGACUUGUGGCUGGGGGUGAAAGGCCAAUCAAACCGGGAGAUAGCUGGUUCUCCCCGAAAGCUAUUUAGGUAGCGCCUCGUGAAUUCAUCUCCGGGGGUAGAGCACUGUUUCGGCAAGGGGGUCAUCCCGACUUACCAACCCGAUGCAAACUGCGAAUACCGGAGAAUGUUAUCACGGGAGACACACGGCGGGUGCUAACGUCCGUCGUGAAGAGGGAAACAACCCAGACCGCCAGCUAAGGUCCCAAAGUCAUGGUUAAGUGGGAAACGAUGUGGGAAGGCCCAGACAGCCAGGAUGUUGGCUUAGAAGCAGCCAUCAUUUAAAGAAAGCGUAAUAGCUCACUGGUCGAGUCGGCCUGCGCGGAAGAUGUAACGGGGCUAAACCAUGCAC